GCUGGCGGCAUGCCUUACACAUGCAAGUCGAACGGCAGCACGGGAGUAAUCCUGGUGGCGAGUGGCGAACGGGUGAGUAAUAUAUCGGAACGUGCCCAGUCGUGGGGGAUAACGUAGCGAAAGCUACGCUAAUACCGCAUACGAUCUACGGAUGAAAGCGGGGGACCCGUAAGGGCCUCGCGCGAUUGGAGCGGCCGAUAUCAGAUUAGGUUGUUGGUGAGGUAAAAGCUCACCAAGCCUGCGAUCUGUAGCUGGUCUGAGAGGUCGACCAGCCACACUGGAACUGAGACACGGUCCAGACUCCUACGGGAGGCAGCAGUGGGGAAUUUUGGACAAUGGACGCAAGUCUGAUCCAGCAAUGCCGCGUGCAGGACGAAGGCCUUCGGGUUGUAAACUGCUUUUGUACGGAACGAAACGGUCUGCUUUAAUACAGUGGGCUAAUGACGGUACCGUAAGAAUAAGCGCCGGCUAACUACGUGCCAGCAGCCGCGGUAAUACGUAGGGUGCGAGCGUUAAUCGGAAUUACUGGGCGUAAAGCGUGCGCAGGCGGUUAUAUAAGUCAGAUGUGAAAUCCCCGGGCUCAACCUGGGACCUGCAUUUGAGACUGUAUAGCUAGAGUACGGUAGAGGGGGAUGGAAUUCCGCGUGUAGCAGUGAAAUGCGUAGAUAUGCGGAGGAACACCGAUGGCGAAGGCAAUCCCCUGGACCUGUACUGACGCUCAUGCACGAAAGCGUGGGGAGCAAACAGGAUUAGAUACCCUGGUAGUCCACGCCCUGAACGAUGUCAACUGGUUGUUGGGUCUUCACU
rnacentral:rRNA from 1 species